GAUUAGUUCGUUUUGGGCUGUGUUUGCUUGGGCUUACCUCAAUUGUUGAUGAGGCCAGCCCUUUGGGUGUUCAAAUGAUGGGAAUGCCCAUCUAGGGUUAGGAUCGGACGGCCCGGAUUAAAAGUUUGGAGGAUACUUUUGUCAUCUUAAUUGUCAGAACUGAUUGGGAUCGAUGGUGAGGGGAUUGUAGGGCGGACGGGAGGCCAUUAUCAGUUUCUGCUACUCUCCGCAAACCCAAAUUUCUUCGUAUCGUUCCAGUAUUCAACGACAAACCCAGAUCCCUAAACGCAAAUUUCUUCAUUUUUUCCCUCCUCCCGUUCCUGUAGGAGCAUCAGAUGUAUCCAGAUGAGCAGAUCCUCAAGUCCAAGAUCGAGCUCCUUAACAUGACCAGCACGGUCGACUACGCCAUGGACAUCCACAAGUCCCUCCAUCACACGAAGGUUUUCCCCAAGGCGAUUAAUUUCCAUAUUGGGUUUCCAUUUUUCUUCAUUUCUGGAAUUUGGGUUUUAAUUUCAGUAAUUUAUUUCUAUUAAUUUUAGUUCUGUUUUUAGUAAAUGUUGUUCCCCUUUCCUUUUCCUCUUUUUCUCUCCCCUCUCUCUGUAACCAUCCAUCAAAUUCCCUCAUCCCUCCCUUUUCUCACUUUGUAAUUUCCCUAAAAUCCCUCACCGAUUCUCUCUCGCCAGUCUUAGUCUCGCUAGCCGCGAGGUGUUCGAGGUCGAUGAGGCGAUUGCUAUGGAGUCGCAGACCAUCAAGCAGAUGGUGGAAGAUGACUACGCCAAUAAUGCGAUACCUCUCCCCAAUGUGACCAACCACAUCGUCACCAAGGUCAUCGAGUACGGCCGGAAGCAUGUCGAACGUCGAGGCGGCGAUAACACCGACGUCGGCAAGAGCGGCGAUUAGACUAUCAAGAAGUUUGUCGGACUUCAUCAACGAGAUCAAAGCUGAUCAGAAUGUUCUCUUUGAUCUGGUCUUGGAUCGCAGGGCUGAAAGAGAACAUGGACGUUUACCGCGUGAUGCUGGAAGGAUGGACAAAUGUGUGAUUGAAUCAGGUGAUAGUAGCGGGAAUGAGAGUAGUGCCUAAACAAACAUGUCAUUAUGGGGAAAGCAAGAAGUUGAAGAAGAGCAUUAGCCCCUCACCAGCCACCAGUUCAAGGUGAUGCAGUUUAAUCGAAUCAGGUUGAAUUGAAUAAUCCUUGAAGUGACAAGAAGAAGCCGACUAAGCCAAGUUUGCCUCAAGCCGGCGAAGGAAUCAGGGGAACGGAGCUCAGGCUAUCAGAGUGUUAUCAAGUUCUAUUUUCUAAUUUUCUGAUUUUGAGGUGGAGGGAGAGCUAAUGUAGUAAUGUUCAGAAGUUACUGUUUCUGUUAAUGCGGAUGACGGAAAUCGACCCAAGUUCAAACUGAAACAGUAUGAUUAUUUUGGUUAUGAUACAACUGAAGUGGAGAAGGAUAGCUCAGUGGCUUCCUAAGGUGCAAUGCUACUUCAAAAUGCUUUAGUUCAGAAGCCGGCAGAAUCAAUUUUCAAUCUUGGGCCAAGAAAGAAAUCAUUAUCUGAUAUUGCGAACUUACUGGUGAAUGCAGACGCUGCAAAACCCGGCUCAAAGAACUGUAGAUGCUGAAGACAAAAAAGAAGCAAAGGAUGCAUUGCAAGCAUAAGCUUCUUGGCAUUUUUCUGGGAGUUUUAGGCUUUCAGUUGCGAGCGUAUCAGAAAAUAAUCCCAAAAAUUGAAGGUGGUAGUGAAAUUGGAUUUACAUAAUGACAAAGAAAAGAAAAAGGCCUUGAAAGCAGUCUCCAGCCUUACAGUGGGUUGAAGAUCUGAUUCAAGGUUCUUUCCCUAUCAUUUCAAUCUAGAUUAGCUGGUGAGUGACAUGCCCUUUGUACUGGUGUGGUAUCAUUGGUGCUCACUUUGUAUUACUGCUUUUGUAACGUUUGGAUGUCUCAAGAUAAGUGCUUAUAAGAGGUAAACUGUCAAUUUUACAAAGUUUUCUGGUAAAUUAGAUAUAUAGUUUAAUUCGAA